GACAGUGCGAACUUGAAUAUUGCUUGCAG
rnacentral:piRNA from 1 species